rnacentral:rRNA from 1 species
UACGUAGGGUGCGAGCGUUGCCCGGAUUUAUUGGGCGUAAAGGGCGCGUAGGCGGCCACGCACGUCCGUUGUGAAAUCGCCCGGCUCAACUGGGCGGGGUCGGCGGAUACGGCGUGGCUGGAGCAAGCUAGGGGGCAAUGGAAUUCCCGGUGUAGUGGUGGAAUGCGUAGAUAUCGGGAGGAACACCAGUGGCGAAGGCGGUUCUCUGGGCCUGUACUGACGCUGAGGAGCGAAAGCGUGGGGAGCGAACAGG